rnacentral:rRNA from 1 species
UACGAGUGCUCCAAGCGUUAUCCGGAAUCAUUGGGCGUAAAGGGUGUGUAGGCGGUUGUGUUAGUCUUCUGUUAAAUUCUUCGGCUUAACCGGGGGCAUGCGGAAGAAACGGCACAACUAGAGGAUGCGAGAGGUGAAUGGAACUCAUGGAGUAGGGGUGAAAUCCGUUGAUAUCAUGGGGAACACCAAAAGCGAAGGCAAUUCACUGGCGCACUCCUGACGCUGAAACACGAAAGCGUAGGUAGCGAAUGGG